AUACUAUAUACACACACACACACACACACACACACACACACACACACAUAUAUAUAUAAAGAAAUGUAGAGAGAGAGUGGGAGAUAAAGAAAUGUAAUAUUAUAUAUUAUGCAACUCAUCAAAAAAUGAGCAGAAACUAAGAAUAAAAGAAUAAAGUAAGAAAGUGGAGGGAGAGGACAAGAUGGCGGAGGAGUAGGGGGACAUGCUCGCCCUCUCCCACAAACACAACAAAAAAAGCACAUCUACAGAAGAAAUGACUCGCACAGAACAACAACCAAUCGCUGGCAGAGGAACCUAAACUCCAAUAACGGCAAGAAGUUCGUGACAUUAUUGGGCAGAACGGGAGAAAAGAGGAGAGUGAGAGAAGGUGAAUCCGAGCGGGACGGGCGCUCCCGAAAGGGAACUGCGGAGGAGAAAGGGAUCCCGCACCCUGGAAAGUCUCCUACCGGGCGAAAGAUCAAACGAACCGGAGGAAUCUCCAGAUGCAGAGAAGAGUGUAGCAGUAAGUCGGAGUAUGGAAAAACGAUCAAGAACCCAACGGACCAUCUGAACUACGGGCACAGUCACCAAAAAUUGAGACGCCUGGGUGGGGGCUGGGCACCGAAUCCUCGGCUCCAGAGGUUAGUCCCCGGGAAAGGGCCGGGGGACGCCUGGGUGGGGGCUGGGCACCGAGACCUCAGCUCUGAAGGUUGGUCCCCGAGAGGGGGCCGGGGGACGCCUGGGUUGGGGCUGGGCACCGAGACCUCGCCUCCGAAGGUUAGUCCCAAGAAAGGGCCGGGGGGCGCCGCCUGGGGGGGCUGGGCACCGAGACCUCGGCUCCAGAGAUUAGUCCCCGGGCUAGGGGGGCGGGGAAGAGCGGAAACUGCUUGGGAGGUCUCUAAACCAUUUGACGGGGCAGAGACUGCCUGGGAGACUAGAAAACAAAGCUGUCGCAGAGGAAGGGAGCAAUACUCUAGGGGCGGGGAAGGGGAAAGCCGCCUCAGAGGGAACCUGGGAGAAGAGCCUGGUCUGCGCCCGUGCUGGGGAGGGGAGAGAAGAAGGGGUGGGUCCCCAUAGAAUACCCCCACGCCACAGC
rnacentral:lncRNA from 1 species